AAGUCGUAACAAGGUCAUCGUAGGUGAACCUGCGGUGGGAUCAUUAAAUAAUCUCAACCUUAAGAGCUAUUUUGCUAUGGGUGUGGUUGUUUCUUUAGUGCUUUGGGAAUGUGUGCUUUCUGUUAUGGAUGGCGUGCUUCUUGGAGGACGAGAGAUGACUAUUGCUUGCGGCUAAGCUCUGCUUGUGUGAAUCUUGUAUAUUGCCUGGAGAGGAUAUGUCAUGUAUCUAAUCUGGCAAUGUGAGAAUAGUUUUGGUGGGUGUAUUGCAAUAACACAUAACAUGUGCUGUUACAACCCCCGCCAGCUGUUCUCUCUAACAUAAACACUAUCAAACUAUCAACAACCAUAUAUCACGAGGACUAAACACCCUCAUCAAUUAAUUUACAACUAUCCGUGGUGGAUCACUUGGCUCUU
rnacentral:misc_RNA from 1 species